UUAACUCCCUCACAAUAGUAUCUGUUCUUAUCAGCUUAAUAUCUGAUACGGGGGACAUUGUCCCCCAAGAUAUUAAACUAUUUUUUGGAACAGAUACUACACUUU
rnacentral:snRNA from 1 species